UGUAUUAUUAAAGAAGCCUCAAAGCUUUGAACAUGGACGGACCUGCGGUGCAUUAGCUAGUUGGUAAGGUAACGGCCUACCAAGGCGACGAUGCAUAGCCGACCUGAGAGGGCGAACGGCCACAUUGGGACUGAGACACGGCCCAAACUCCUACGGGAGGCAGCAGUAGGGAAUUUUCGUCAAUGGGGGGAACCCUGAACGAGCAAUGCCGCGUGAGUGAAGACGGUCUUCGGAUUGUAAAGCUCUGUUGUGAGCGAAAAAGGAUAUAUAUAGGAAAUGAUAUGUAUUUGAUGGUAUCUCACCAGAAAGUCACGGCUAACUACGUGCCAGCAGCCGCGGUAAUACGUAGGUGGCGAGCGUUAUCCGGAAUGAUUGGGCGUAAAGGGUACGUAGGCGGCAUGAUAAGUCUGGAGUGAAAGGCUACAGCUCAACUGUAGUAUGCUCUGGAAACUGUCAAGCUAGAGUGCAGAAGAGGGCAAUGGAACUCCAUGUGUAGCGGUAAAAUGCGUAGAUAUAUGGAAGAACACCGGUGGCGAAGGCGGUUGCCUGGUCUGAAACUGACGCUGAAGUACGAAAGCGUGGGGAGCAAAUAGGAUUAGAUACCCUAGUAGUCCACGCCGUAAAAGAUGAGAACUAGGUGUUGGGGGAAUAACUCAGUGCC
rnacentral:rRNA from 1 species